rnacentral:lncRNA from 1 species
GAACUAAAGACAAGGUGUAGAGGAGUGAGUGUGUGGUCCUGGAUAUGAGCAGCCUGACAGGAGGGCAUCCGUGGGGAAAUGUAUAGCUGUCUUUUCCUCUAUGAACUAUGUUAGUGUUCCUCUCUGCUAUGACAGCAGUGGCAUGAUUCUUGCUAUGGGUAGUGAUGAAGGGGGAUAAGAUAGAAAAGACAAUAUUUAGAUACUGAUUUGUUUAGUGAUUUAAUUACAACAACACUGUUAUUGCAAAACACGACUUCACCUUGCUAUCCGAAACAGAAUGACCUGAACAAAGCCCUAAGGUAAUCAAAAAGUUUCCUUCCCAAGGUGAUUAGAAAGGAGAAAAAUAGGUGAAAGAAAAUAGGCCAUUCAUUGCCUCUAGCAACCUGCCUGCAAAAGCUGUCCAUUGUAACAUAUGCCUUUAAAAACAGAAGUCCCAAGCUAACUGCUGGAAAGUCCUGGUUGCCUGUGUCACCCCACCUCAAGGUUUUAGAGUAUAAAGUUACAAUGUAGACAGAACUUGGGGGCUGAAGUCUUUCAGGAGCUUUAGCCCACCAGUGAAUAAAUAUCUCCUCUUUCACCCUCAUUGAUGUUAGAGUGCUCAUUCCAAAGAGAUUCCCACAACAGUGAGGCACGCAACUAAGGUCAAGCUAUCAGGAUUAGGAGUGACUGUGGAAGGAAUCUUAGGACAGUAGCCUACAUCUUUGUUGUGUGGGAUGGCAUGCUUGUUUGACAAGUGGGGUUCACCACAUGAACAUGGAGAUACACUGAAAAUGCUUAACUGUUUAGAGAAAUUUUGCAGUCUUUUAGUACACAAGGGUCAAGAUUGUCACCAAGAAACAGUGGAGGUCGCCUGGCUGUCAGAAGCCAGAUUUGACAUCCCAGGGUAAACCAAGGCAGGCAGCAAAAGCAGAUAUGGCGUCGGCAACUAGGGAGGGUCUACUGACAGCCACAGGUGAUUUUCGGGGUCAGUACUACUGAUGGAGCAAAACUUAAUUAUCUGGGGCUGGCAAGGAUGCUCAGUGAGGAACUCUGAACUCUUUUAACUCGUAAGUGUGCAUACAUAUAGACAGACAGACAGAUACACAUUUGGUAGACAGAACAGAGCCCCAACAGCCACACUGUAUUUUUUCUCUCAGCCUUUUUAUACCUUCCUAGAUAAAGGUUCUUUAUAAAAUUACCUAAUAGAUAAAAUGUUUCACAAAAGAGGAGUUACAGAAGGAUGUUGAUAGUAAGUUCAAAGUAGUGUUUCAUUCUAUAAGCUCAUUAUAAGUUCAGAGCCAUAGUUCUACAUGGCCUUGCUUUAUCAUAGUGCACACCUGUGGCUUCAUCCUUGGCUCCAACCUAGAAUGAUUGUUUUUCCUUGAUCCCAAAUCUGUCCUUAGCCUAUUUCUCUCCUUAGUGUAAUUUAUGAAAGCUCAUUGUAUUCCCUAUUAUGCAGCCUUUGAUUACUAUUCUAUGAGGAGGAGGCACAUUUUAUUCUGAUUCUAACUUUAUUAUAUCUUUUUGGCAGAACAACUAAAACCAUCUCCUCAAACUUUCUUCCUAAAAUUACUUUAAUCAAAUCAGGAAUGAUAUAAAGUUGCUAAUUUGUCUAAAAGCAUUAAUGCAUGAAAGUUCAUCUUCAUGUUGAUCUGCAGGAAAUUUGCUCAGUAGGGUGGGCUGAUGCCCAGGAACCAUUAGGCUAUGCAAUAGUGGCAGGAAAGGCAUAUCAGUCUCAAGGAGCAAUCAUGGGAUGAAGUCUUUUGGGCUGUGCCUCUCCAGAGUGCACCCACUGUAGCCAUGAAAAAUAGUGGGCCAUCUCCAGGAAACUCAUUUGCUUGUCAUAGCCUUUCCUAGAUGGCUUCUGUCACCUGGUCACUGUUUGGGCAGUUAGAAAUGCCCCUGAGGCUGAGAUAGAGGCCAAGCAAACUCCCUUCUUGUAAAAAGAUAGGGAGAUUGUGGCUAGCCUUUUCCACCUUAGCCUCUGAUUUGGCAAGUAAAUUAGAUAAAUGAGAACAUGAGAGAGAUACUUCUCAGGGCCAACCUCUAGUGAAAAAGGAGGGAAAAAAAUCUGUGAUCCAAUGGGGCCUCAGCAGUGAUCCAGUACAAGGAUGAUCCAGUACAAGGAUGAUCCAGUACAAGGAUGAUCCAGUACAAGGAUGCAGGAUGAGCAAGAAACCCCCCUUGAGUGCUGGGAUUGGGGAAAACUUUUAUUUUAUUAUUUGUUUAUUUGUUUGUUUGUUCAUUUGUUUGGAAUUUUGGAACCAGGUUUCUCUGUGUAGUCCUGAUUGUCCUGGAGCUCAGUCUGUAGACCAGGCUGGCCUUAAACUCAGAGAUCUGCCUGCAUCUGCCUCCCAAGAGCUGGGAUUAAAGGUGUGCAUGCACCACCCCCACUCAGCCUCUGGGGGAGUGGGGACUUUUAAAUAGGCAAUUAAAGUGAAUCUGUCACAGUCUGGUUUGUGAGGAUGUAGAUCAUGGGAGUAUAUGGAGUACGUCCCACUGCUGCAGAGACAGAACUGGGCAACAUAACUAACUACCUAAUUAUACUUCUCUCCUUAUGGCAGAGGCUGCAUGACCUAGACAGUGUGAGGGAAGUCACCUAUUGGUUGGUUUAUCUGAGCCAUUAGGGAUACUUGGUUGUUUCCAUCUGAAACUCCCAUAAAUAUUAGGGCCUAGAGGACCAUAGAGGAGGGACAGGUGUGACUUAGGGAACUAGAAAUAAGAAGAGUGGUGUUUGCGCUCCAGUUCAAGGGGCCAGAUAGAACUGUUUACAAAGGACU